GACAGAGGAGACAAGCGUUGUUCGGAAUUACUGGGCUUAAAGCGCGCGUAGGCGGCCCGUUAAGUGUUUCGUGAAAUCCCACGGCUCAACCGUGGAACUGCGGAGCAUACUGGCGGGCUUGAGGUCGGUAGAGGUGCCUGGAACUCUAGGUGGAGCGGUGAAAUGCGUAGAUAUCUAGAGGAACGCCAGCGGCGAAAGCGGGGCACUGGGCCGAUUCUGACGCUGAGGCGCGAAAGCGUGGGGAGCAAACAGG
rnacentral:rRNA from 1 species